rnacentral:rRNA from 1 species
GGUGAGUAACGCGUGGGUAACCUGCCUUGUACUGGGGGAUAGCAGCUGGAAACGGCUGGUAAUACCGCAUAAGCGCACAAUGUUGCAUGACAUGGUGUGAAAAACUCCGGUGGUAUAAGAUGGACCCGCGUCUGAUUAGCUAGUUGGUGAGAUAACAGCCCACCAAGGCGACGAUCAGUAGCCGACCUGAGAGGGUGACCGGCCACAUUGGGACUGAGACACGGCCCAGACUCCUACGGGAGGCAGCAGUGGGGAAUAUUGCACAAUGGAGGAAACUCUGAUGCAGCGACGCCGCGUGAGUGAAGAAGUAAUUCGUUAUGUAAAGCUCUAUCAGCAGGGAAGAUAGUGACGGUACCUGACUAAGAAGCUCCGGCUAAAUACGUGCCAGCAGCCGCGGUAAUACGUAUGGAGCAAGCGUUAUCCGGAUUUACUGGGUGUAAAGGGAGUGUAGGUGGCCAUGCAAGUCAGAAGUGAAAAUCCGGGGCUCAACCCCGGAACUGCUUUUGAAACUGUAAGGCUGGAGUGCAGGAGGGGUGAGUGGAAUUCCUAGUGUAGCGGUGAAAUGCGUAGAUAUUAGGAGGAACACCAGUGGCGAAGGCGGCUCACUGGACUGUAACUGACACUGAGGCUCGAAAGCGUGGGGAGCAAACAGGAUUAGCAUCACCCUGGUAGUUCCCACGCCGUAAACGCAUGACAUACUAGGUGUCGGGGCCCAAA